rnacentral:tRNA from 1 species
AGGGGUGUGGCUCAGGGGCAGAGCGACUGCCUAGCAUGUAUGAAGCCCUGGGUUCCAGCCCCUGCACCUCAG